rnacentral:misc_RNA from 1 species
CCGAAAUUUAAAACUCACAACGCGAGUCUCGUGCGGAAGCAAAUAUGACUGCCGUGACUUUGUGACUCUUCAAGUCUUCCUUUGCUCAAGUCAAACCACACUCGUGAAGCACAUGUGACGAGUCUGUGGUGAGCAUCGGGAGCACUGCGUUUCCUUCGGGAUUCACAGUCUAAAAAACGAAUUGUAAAAGUAUAUAUAUAAACAAAAAAAGACGAAAAAAU